AAUCUACUCCCUCCGUUCCUAAAUACUUGUCUUUCUAGGCAUUUCAACAAGUGACUACAUACGGAGCAAAAUGAGUGAAUCUACACCCUAAAAUAUGUCUACAUACAUCCGUAUGUAGUAGUCAUUUGAAAUGUCUAAAAAGACAAGUAUUUAGGAACGGAGGGAGUAUAUG
rfam:Triticum aestivum genome assembly, contig: Triticum_aestivum_CS42_TGACv1_scaffold_112078_2AS